GUCAAAUUGGUAGAAUGCUUAAAAAGAAGCGAUCGAAAGAAAACACAAAGUAAAAUGGUAGAAAUAAUUUCAUCAGUAUCAGUAAUCAUGACGACUCUAACUGGAUGAAACUUAAAAUUUCUGAACACGCAUACGCUAGACACUAGGCAUUGUUCAGUUGCAGACUCGUGGGACAAAAAAAGCAAUGAUAACAAUGGGCUAAAGGGAACACAGAGUUCUAUCUAGUAAAAGGAGGGGCACCCCCCUUUCAGUCUGUAGCGAGAAGGUUGGGGAAGACUUCCUGAAGAUGGCGACCCUUCAGCUGCAUCCUGGAGGAUGAGUAAGAAGCAGAAGGGAUAGGAAGGGUGUGCCAGGGAAAGGUGCAAAGUCAUGGAAGUGUGAGAGAACAAGGAAUGCUCUGGUCCAACCUUCUUUUGUUAUGGAUGAGGAACCUGAACUUCAGAACAGCCUUCAGUUGGGAAGACGGCAUCACCAAGCCCUGAGAACACAACUAUAAAGGAACUUCUGGAUUCCAUCGAAGAAACGUUCCAAUGGAAGGGGAGAUACAGGAGAUAUGUUGACUCACAGAACAACCUACCUUUCACCUUACUUGUCUUUCUAGAAAAAGCCCAGUUCUUCAGAGCCCAAGAACUGCAACUGCUGAAGCUCGUGUGCUCCAGGCUCUGCAACAAGAGAAGCCACCGAAAUGAGAAGCCUGCAGAUCGCAACUAGAGAGUAGCCCCUGCUCACAGAAACUGGAGGAAAGCUCACAUAACAACGAAGACCCAGAG
ensembl:lncRNA